CAUGCAAGUCGAACGAAGAGCGAUGGAAGCUUGCUUCUAUCAAUCUUAGUGGCGAACGGGUGAGUAACGCGUAAUCAACCUGCCCUUCAGAGGGGGACAACAGUUGGAAACGACUGCUAAUACCGCAUACGAUCUAAUCUCGGCAUCGAGGAUAGAUGAAAGGUGGCCUCUACAUGUAAGCUAUCACUGAAGGAGGGGAUUGCGUCUGAUUAGCUAGUUGGAGGGGUAACGGCCCACCAAGGCGAUGAUCAGUAGCCGGUCUGAGAGGAUGAACGGCCACAUUGGGACUGAGACACGGCACAGACUCCUACGGGAGGCAGCAGUGGGGAAUCUUCCGCAAUGGACGAAAGUCUGACGGAGCAACGCCGCGUGAGUGAUGACGGCCUUCGGGUUGUAAAGCUCUGUUAAUCGGGACGAAAGGCCUUCUUGCGAAUAGUGAGAAGGAUUGACGGUACCGGAAUAGAAAGCCACGGCUAACUACGUGCCAGCAGCCGCGGUAAUACGUAGGUGGCAAGCGUUGUCCGGAAUUAUUGGGCGUAAAGCGCGCGCAGGCGGAUCAGUCAGUCUGUCUUAAAAGUUCGGGGCUUAACCCCGUGAGGGGAUGGAAACUGCUGAUCUAGAGUAUCGGAGAGGAAAGUGGAAUUCCUAGUGUAGCGGUGAAAUGCGUAGAUAUUAGGAAGAACACCAGUGGCGAAGGCGACUUUCUGGACGAAAACUGACGCUGAGGCGCGAAAGCCAGGGGAGCGAACGGGAUUAGAUACCCCGGUAGUCCUGGCCGUAAACGAUGGGUACUAGGUGUAGGAGGUAUCGACCCCUUCUGUGCCGGAGU
rnacentral:rRNA from 1 species